rnacentral:rRNA from 1 species
CCUACGGGAGGCAGCAGUGAGGAAUAUUGGUCAAUGGGCGGGAGCCUGAACCAGCCAAGCCGCGUGAGGGAAGAAGGUCCUGUGUAUUGUAAACCUCUUUUGCCGGGGAACAAAGCCUGCCACGGGUGUCCGGCAGCGUGUAGCUGACGAAAAAGCAUCGGCUAACUCCGUGCCAGCAGCCGCAGUAAUACGGAGGAUGCGAGCGUUAUCCGGAUUUAUUGGGGUUAAAGGGUGCGCAGGCGGCCUGUUAAGUCAGCGGUAAAAUGGCGGGGCUCAACCCCGGCGGGCCGUUGAAACUGGCGGGCUGGAGUUGGAGAGAGGUAGGCGGAAUUCGUGGUGUAGCGGUGAAAUGCAGAGAUAGCACGAAGAACCCCGAUUGCGAAGGCAGCAUACCGGCUCCAGACUGACGCUGAGGCACGAAAGCGUGGGUAUCGAACAGGAUUAGAUACCCGAGUAGUC